GUGCAUUGUAGUUGCAUUGCAUCUGCAUUUAAUAAGUGCAGUGCUUCUCCAGUGCAAUC
rnacentral:pre_miRNA from 1 species